GAAUAUUGCUCAAUGGGCGCAAGCCUGAAGCAGCGACGCCGCGUGGGCGACGAAGGUCUUCGGAUCGUAAAGCCCUUUUCUGCGUGACGAGCAAGGACGGUAGCGCAGGAAGAAGUGUCGGCUAACUACGUGCCAGCAGCCGCGGUAAAACGUAGGACGCAAACGUUAUCCGGAAUUACUGGGCGUAAAGAGCGUGUAGGUGGGGGGAUAAGUUGUCCGUGAAAGCGCCUGGCUAAACUGGGCGAGGUCGGAUAAGACUGUCCGUCUGGAGGGCGUGAGAGGGAUGCGGAAUUCCGGGUGUAGUGGUGAAAUGCGUAGAGAUCCGGAGGAACACCAGAGGCGAAGGCGGCAUCCUGGGACGUACCUGACGCUGAGACGCGAAAGCAUGGGGAGCGAACGGG
rnacentral:rRNA from 1 species